UACGUAGGUGGCAAGCGUUGUCCGGAUUUAUUGGGUUUAAAGGGUGCGUAGGCGGCCUAUUAAGUCAGUUCUGAAAUAUCCCGGCUUAACCGGGAGGGUGGGAUUGAUACUGAUGGGCUUGAGUGGAGUCGAGGUAGGCGGAAUUGACGGUGUAGCGGUGAAAUGCUUAGAUAUCGUCAAGAACACCGAUAGUGUAGACAGCUUACUAGACUUCAACUGACGCUGAGGCACGAAAGUGUGGGGAUCAAACAGG
rnacentral:rRNA from 3 species